rnacentral:rRNA from 1 species
GACGAACGCUGGCGGCGUGCUUAACACAUGCAAGUCGAGCGGUCCGGCCUUUCGGGGUACACGUGCGGCCAACGGGUGCGUAACGCGUGGGUGCUCUGCCCUGCCCUUCGGGUUAAGCCUGGGAAACUGUGUCUAAUACCGGCUAUUACCUCCUAUCUCAUGCUGGGUGGUGGAAAGAUUUAUCGGUGCAGGUUGGGCCCGCGGCCUAUCAGCUUGUUGGUGGGGUAAUGGCCUACCAAGGCGACGACGGGUAGCCGACCUGAGAGGGUGACCGGCCACACUGGGACUGAGACACGGCACAGACUGCUACGGGAGGCAGCAGUGGGGAAUAUUGCACAAUGGGCGAAAGCCUGAUGCAGCGACGCCGCGUGAGGGAUGACGGCCUUCGGGUUGUAAACCUCUUUCAGCAGGGACGAAGCGCAAGUGACAGUACCUGCAGAAGAAGCACCGGCUAACUACGUG